rnacentral:rRNA from 1 species
CUACGGGAUGCUCCAGUGGGGAAUAUUGCACAAUGGGCGCAAGCCUGAUGCAGCCAUGCCGCGUGUAUGAAGAAGGCCUUCGGGUUGUAAAGUACUUUCAGCGGGGAGGAAGGGAGUAAAGUUAAUACCUUUGCUCAUUGACGUUACCCGCAGAAGAAGCACCGGCUAACUCCGUGCCAGCAGCCGCGGUAAUACGGAGGGUGCAAGCGUUAAUCGGAAUUAAUGGGCGUAAAGCGCACGCAGGCGGUUUGUUAAGUGCAGAUGUGAAAUCCCCGGGCUCAACCUGGGAACUGCAUCUGAUACUGGCAAGCUUGAGUCUCGUAGAGGGGGGUAGAAUUCCAGGUGUAGCGGUGAAAUGCGUAGAGAUCUGGAGGAAUACCGGUGGCGAAGGCGGCCCCCUGGACGAAGACUGACGCUCAGGUGCGAAAGCGUGGGGAGCAAACAGGAUUAGAUACCCCCGUAGUC